rnacentral:pre_miRNA from 1 species
UCACCUCUGCAGGCUGCCGCCCCCCAGGCUGGGCUGGGCUGGAAGGUAUCUCUUCGAAAGGCUCACCCUCAGGCACUACUAGGAGC